rnacentral:rRNA from 1 species
CCUGGCUCAGAUUGUACGCUGGCGGCAUGCUUUACACAUGCAAGUCGAACGGCAGCACGAAAGAGCUUGCUCUUUUGGUGGCGAGUGGCGAACGGGUGAGUAAUACAUUGGAACGUACCGAGUAAUGGGGGAUAACUGUCCGAAAGGAUGGCUAAUACCGCAUACGCUCUGAGGAGGAAAGCGGGGGACCUUCGGGCCUCGCGUUAUUCGAGCGGCCAAUGUCUGAUUAGCUAGUUGGUGGGGUAAAGGCCUACCAAGGCGACGAUCAGUAGUGGGUCUGAGAGGAUGAUCCGCCACACUGGGACUGAGACACGGCCCAGACUCCUACGGGAGGCAGCAGUGGGGAAUUUUGGACAAUGGGCGAAAGCCUGAUCCAGCCAUGCCGCGUGUCUGAAGAAGGCCUUCGGGUUGUAAAGGACUUUUGUCAGGGAAGAAAG